rnacentral:rRNA from 1 species
UGAACGCUGGCGGCGUGCCUAAUACAUGCAAGUCGAGCGAAUAGACGAGGAGCUUGCUCCUCUGACGUUAGCGGCGGACGGGUGAGUAACACGUGGAUAACCUACCUAUAAGACUGGGAUAACUUCGGGAAACCGGAGCUAAUACCGGAUAAUAUAUUGAACCGCAUGGUUCAAUAGUGAAAGACGGUUUUGCUGUCACUUAUAGAUGGAUCCGCGCCGCAUUAGCUAGUUGGUAAGGUAACGGCUUACCAAGGCAACGAUGCGUAGCCGACCUGAGAGGGUGAUCGGCCACACUGGAACUGAGACACGGUCCAGACUCCUACGGGAGGCAGCAGUAGGGAAUCUUCCGCAAUGGGCGAAAGCCUGACGGAGCAACGCCGCGUGAGUGAUGAAGGUCUUCGGAUCGUAAAACUCUGUUAUUAGGGAAGAACAAAUGUGUAAGUAACUAUGCACGUCUUGACGGUACCUAAUCAGAAAGCCACGGCUAACUACGUG